GACGAACGCUGGCGGCGUGCUUAACACAUGCAAGUCGAACGGAGUGGCGAACGGGUGAGUAUUACGUGAGUAACCUGCCCUCAACUGUGGGAUAAGCCUGGGAAACUGGGUAUAAUACUGCAUAGUUGGGGGGGGGCUCGCGGCCUAUCAGCUUGUUGGUGGGGUGAUGGCCUACCCAGGCGGUGACGGGUAGCCGGCCUGAGAGGGUUGUCAGCCACAUUGGGACUAAGAUACGGCCCAGACUCCUACGGGAGGAACCAGUGGGGGAUAUUGCAGAAUGGGAGCAAGCCUGAUGCAGCGACUCCGCGUGAGGGAUGAAGGUUUUCGGAUCGUAAAGCUCUGUUGUAAGAGAAGCGGUAUCUUACCAGAAAGCCACGGCUAACUACGUGCCAGCAGCCGCGGUAAUAC
rnacentral:rRNA from 1 species